GGGAUGGCAUGGGAGACAAGGUACUCUUCCAAAGCAAAACUUACAGUCGUUUUUCCAGCACCAGAGAGACCUGUCCAGAAUAGGUAAUGAAUAAUGGGAACCUGGAGUCCCUGCUGUGUUCUUUGGCAUCAGAAUAAGGAGAGAUCAGCUGUUGAAGGAUAAAGACCCAAAUCCCAGUCACCAUUAAAUUAGCUGUUGGGUAUAGAUGGUAAACUACUGCAGUAACACUAUAUUUGCCAUGGGUCUGGCACUGGGGACUGGCACAUUAGAGAAAAUGGACUUGAUGUGUAUGUCCCAAUACAAAACUGGGCAUCCCUAGUAUAUGCCUCAUCAAGGCAAGCAUGAGUAAGAAACCUUGGGAAUGCAAAUGUACCUACUACAAGCCACGUCUCUCCAAGGAAGCUAGGGUAACAUUGUCUCAAGAACAGAUGGGUACCAAAUAUUUGAACUUGAAGCUCUAUGCUCACUGUCCGGUCUCACACUAGAAGACAGAGAAAGUUGUUUUGAUACAAACCCCAGCUAUGAGUGAAACCAGGAAACCACAGGUACUAGGAAAAACUCAACAACACAAGGACAAGGCUGAUUUGAACAGGAAAAGACUCAGAAGAGUAAGAGAAGAAAACAAAAGAAAAAGCCAGGUGUGCUGUCACACCCCAUAAUCCCAGC